UUUUUAUGGAGAGUUUGAUCCUGGCUCAGGAUGAACGCUGGCGGCGUGCCUAAUACAUGCAAGUCGAGCGAACAGACGAGGAGCUUGCUUCUCUGACGUUAGCGGCGGACGGGUGAGUAACACGUGGAUAACCUACCUAUAAGACUGGGAUAACUUCGGGAAACCGGAGCUAAUACCGGAUAAUAUAUUGAACCGCAUGGUUCAAUAGUGAAAGACGGUUUUGCUGUCACUUAUAGAUGGAUCCGCGCCGCAUUAGCUAGUUGGUAAGGUAACGGCUUACCAAGGCAACGAUGCGUAGCCGACCUGAGAGGGUG
rnacentral:rRNA from 1 species